rnacentral:rRNA from 1 species
UACGUAGGGGGGCAAGCGUUGUCCGGAAUCAUUGGGCGUAAAGCGCGCGCAGGCGGUCCUUUAAGUCUGAUGUGAAAGCCCACGGCUCAACCGUGGAGGGUCAUUGGAAACUGGGGGACUUGAGUGCAGGAGAGAAGAGUGGAAUUCCACGGUGUAGCGGUGAAAUGCGCAGAUAUCAGGAAGAACACCCGUGGCGAAGGCGGCUCUCUGGGACGGUACUGACGCUGAGACGCGAAAGCGUGGGGAGCGAACAGG